UAUAUUUUUUUUUAUGCUAUAUUUUUUAAAUCUCAUAUGAGAAUUUUUGGUUUGUUACUUGUUGCUACUUACUUCUAGGUUGUAUUUUUUAUUUUGUUUCUUCACUACUCAACCCCAUCUUCCUCAAAUUCUUUCUUAAUGGAUGAGAUGAGGGACGAAAGAGGAAAGCCCCCAUUUUUCUCAAUUUCUUUCCAGAAGUGCCCCCCACACUCUCUCCCCACCCUAUAUAUACAUGUAAACAUAGUCAUUCAACCAUGCACACUUUCUCUCUCUCUCUCUCUCUCUCUCUCUCUCUCUCUCCCUCUUUCUCUCUAUCUCUCUCCUUGCCCGCGUACGCAAGCACACCUCUGUCUCUCUCUAUGUCCACAAUAACGAGCUUGCUGCUUUCGCCAAACUUUCACCAAGAGCAAUCGACAGAAAGUUCCCCCAAAGUAGGAAUCACUGUCGGGAUAAAUGUCCCCCAAAGUAGGGAUCAUUGUCGGGAUAAAUGUCGGGAUGAGUGUUCAAGGGAUGAUUGCUACUGCGGCAACCGGCCUACUCAUCUACUGCAUAUGGAAAAGGAGGCGUUCAGGCCCCCGCAGGAACAACAAAGGCUCCACGACAGGGCAACCCCAUAGCGAUAUUGAGUCGGUAGUCGCCUCAGGCGUACUAGAGGGCCGCAUCGCUGCGCGAAUGAUUAGCAACUGAUCAAUAUUAGUAUCUAUAAUUUGGUACGUAGGCUGUGGCUAUCUAUUUAUACACUUUAUUUUGAGUUUGUAAGGAUUUUGCAUAUAAGCAUAUAUUUUGCAUUUUUGUUUGGGUUAUGUUUAAAAGUCUCAUUGCGGCAGUAUUUACUAAUCGCAAGCCAUUGAUGUAUUUUUUUUUUAAUCUUUUUGAAAACCCGCGCGUUGCGGCGGAUAGAUACUACUAAAAUAAAUUUAAUGUCUAACUAAUAUAUCAAAAGUUUGUUGUUAUUUUAAAAAUCAAAAUAGUCCAAACAUAUUGGGUUUUUGCAAAAGUAUAUUAAUCUGCUGAAACCGAUUAGUAACAAAAUGCUCAUAGAAAGAUAAUAAAUAUGUCAACUUGUUGAGCCAAAAAAUGACAUACUAUUUGGAAGAGAUUUAGAUAAAAUAUUCGAUAAAAAUUAACAUUUUAUAAAUCAAAAUAAUCAAAGGGUUAAACUUUUUUGUAUAAGUUAUAUCUUUGUAACUUCAUUUUCUUAUAAGCUAUAAUAUUUACCCCUUCAAGAAAAUGAAGAUCGUUUUAGAUCAUUAUCAAUCUAAUUUUGUAAACAUUCUUAUAUCAAUUAAUAAAAAGAGUCAUAAAAGUAGAAAAAAAAGUAAGUAUAUGAAAAGUUAUAUAAUAAAUUUUUGAAAGACAAAAAGAUAUACAACCUAAUACAGCCUAAGACAGUAAUAUAAUACACAAUUUUACUUUAAAAAAAUAUAUAAAAAAUAAAUGAUAGAAAAAGAAAAAGUAAUAAACCUUCAACACAACAAACACAUCAGUUCGAAUUCCAUGCAAAUAAAAAAACUUAAAAAAACUGAAUAAAACUACCUAAGAAAUUUCAACGUUACAACAUCAAGAAUAUAUAAAUUUUUUAAAAGAACUUUUGAAUUUUGGAGUAAGGCACAAUUUGAUGAAGAUGACAGCACCAAGCUCGGUGAUGCAGCGUGCAAAAUCAUACUCCGUCCACAGAACGUGCUCGAUCUUGGCCUCGGAGCUCAUGGAGGAGGAAGAGAAAGUAGAGAAGGAGAUAAGAGGGCUUUUCAUAGGAUUCUAUGAUUUACAGUUUAAAUUAGGGUUAAGAUGGGCGGACCAUUAAUUAGACGUUAUGUGUGGAGGGAAGGUGAAGUGUUGAGUUAAGGUAGGUGGACCAUUAAUGGGUGCAUGGAGGGAAGGCGAAGUGUUGAGUUAAGGUGGGUGGACCAUUAAUUAGACGUUAUGGGUGGAGGGAAGGCGAAGGGUUGGUUUCGCAAUAUGAAGUCCAAAACUAAAGAAAACACGCCACGUUGCUUUUCUUUUGGGGAUAGGUGACUUUGAAAUAAAAUCUCCUUCAUUAUAGGUGACUUUGAAAUAGAGUUCUCAAUAAUUAUGUAUUUAUUUUUAAUUGAUAUCUUUCCGACUUUAAUUUUUUAUUAAUUAAUUAAUUCAGUUUUAUUUGAUAUAGAGUAGUUAAUUAAUUAAUUUUCUAAAAUUUAGUAUUUAUUGUUUAGGAUUUAAAAAUUUUGGUUAAAUUUUUAGUUUAUUCGACUAAAUUAGUAGCUAUAUGCAGGUUAAUAAAAAAAAAAUUAGGAAAAAUUGUCUAAAAAUGAGGGAGAGUUCGUACAUUUUUAUCUAAAUAAAUUAUAUAAUUUUUUAUCAAUUAAAUAGAUCUCUAAUGUGGAAGAUUUGCAUGAAAACUAAAUAAUAUGUAGAAAAAGGAUAUUCCAAUGAGAUUUUAUUAAUUAAUAAUAUUUUGCAUACUAUUUGAAUGAUAUGAUUAGGGGCCUGAUUCAUAAAUCGCCUAAAAUUGAGGGCCUUCAGACAUUUUUUUAUCAUAAUAUGAUUUGUAUUCAUUAAAGGGGUCUCAAGUAUAAAAUUUUUUUAAUGCAAAAUAAAAUAGUAUAAAUGGCAUGGCCUAAAUCAUUUUUUAUAUAAAAAGUUUGCAUGAUUUAAAUCAUUUUUGACAUAAUUUAUAAAAUUGAAGGAUUUCAGGUAUAAAUGUCAUUUUUUGUCCUAAAAAAGUGGCUUUUUUAUAAGUAGUAUAAAAGAAAAUUUUUUAUGGCCAGAUGUAGAGAUCGAAAAUUUAAUUUAUUUAAAUGUUCAAUUGAAAAAUAAUUUUUUUAUUAUCUUAUGCAAAUAUAAUAAAAUUAUUAAAUUAUAAAUAUUCACUAAAAAUUUAUUUAAAAAUUAUAUAUUACAUAUCAAUCAUGUCCGAUCAUAAUUAUUUUGAAAAAAUAUUUUUUUAUUUUUUUAAAUAUGUGACGUGCAUUGCACGUGCACUCUACUAGUAUAAUAUAAAUUGCAUCUCUCAAAUUAAUUUUAAUUAUACUAUAUUUAUUAUUAAAUAAAUUAGUUCAAUAUAUAUGAUAUAUUAAUAGAUCCGGUGUAGAUAUUAUAUUUUAUAUUUAAGAAUGGGAGAAAGUUAAGAGGAAUUGAAAGGAAAGCUACACGUAGCAGUAGAACUCUCAUUUCGUAUAUUUAUAUAGAUAUAGAUUUUUUUUAAGCUAUAUUUUUUAAAUCUCAUAUGAAUAUUUUUGGUAUGUUACUUGUUGCUACUCACUUCUGGAUUGUAUUUUUGAUUUUGCUUCUUCACUACUCAAUCCCAUCUUCCUCAAAUUCUUUCUUAGUGGAUGAGAUGAGGGACGAAAGACGAAAGCCCCUAUGUUUUUUUCCAGAAGUGCCCCCCACACUCCCUCCCCACCCUAUAUAUACACGUAAACAUAGUCAUUCAACCAUGCACACUUUCCCCCCCCUCUCUCUCUCUCUCUAUUUCUCUCUCUCCCUCUCCCUUUCCCUCUCUCUCUCUCUCCCUGCCCGCGUACUCAAGCACACCUCUGUCUCUCUCUAUGUCCACAAUAACGAGCUUGCUGCUUUCGCCAAACAUUG
rnacentral:lncRNA from 1 species